CCACCUCAUUUGGAUGGUAAUGCCUUGGAUAAAGAAGAGCAUUGCUUGAAGAGUCUUCAAGCACUUGACAAAGAUGGAAGACUGACACCUCUAGGGAGGGCUAUGAAUCAUUAUCCUAUGGGUCAUCGUCACUCUAGGAUGCUCACUGUUAUUCAAGUCUUGAUUGAGAAGAGUUUCGGAGCUAAGUUAGUCCUAGCAUGCGCAGUUGCAGCUGCUGCUGCUUUGAGUUUGUCAAGAAGGCCAUGACUUAAUGAGUCCAGUCACCGCUCAAUUCAAUUGAGUCCAGUCAGUGUUUACCAUGUGGUCACUCCUUCUCCUCCGGCGACUAUUUCUCGCCGUCUCCGGCUGCACUAACGUUUAACGCCUCUCGAACCCCCACUCUCUCUUCCACUUUCUCUCACAUUGCUUCUGUAGAACCACUUUUUCAAUAAGCAGCUUCUUCCCAACCCCUCUCCAUUUCAAAACCCCGGCCCGCCCGACUUUUCUCGCUCGUGCCGCCGUUUCUCUUUAGCCUUCGCCCAUUCGCCUCACAUUUCUUCGUGUUCCAAAUAUAUAUAAUGGGUUGCUUCUGAGAUGGUCAUGGGGGCAUUCCACCGGCUUGUUAAAUUUCUGGGGUUUUAACUGCCUUUUCAGGAUCUAUAAGCAUAUUCAGAUAUGCCUGAACUGGUCGAGCAUCUCCGUAAAUCGCGUCUCCUGCUUUGUAUCUUUGUUGCAUUCCUGUUAAAUACUCUUGCGACUUCGGAUAUUCCCUUGGGUUCCAAAAUUUCUGUAGCUGAUAAAAACAUAUGGAUCUCUCCAAAUGGUGAUUUUGCAUUUGGAUUUUUUAACCGUUCGGACCAGCCAAACUAUAGUUUCGGGAUCCGUCUCAUUUCGAAAUCAUUUCCUCUUGACCAACAAUUUUUGGUAUGGAGUGCUGCAGCUGAUCUUAUUGUUGGUAACAAUUCUUAUGCCCAGCUGACCCAGGAUGGCGAACUAGUUUUAUUCGAUUCCUUGAAGAGUGUCACUGCAUGGACCAGUAAAACAAGGCAGUUAUCAGUUGUUUCUGCUGCUCUUAAUGACAAUGGAAAUCUUGUUCUAUUGAAUCAAGAGAAACAUAUUGUUUGGCAAAGUUUUGAUACUCCAUCCGACAUACUUCUUCCUGGACAGAGCUUCUCUACAUUGCAAACACUUGGAGCUGCAAGCAAGAAUUGUGUGUCCAGUUACUACACUCUUUUUAUGUGUUGUGGCUCCUUGAAACCAUUCUGUUGUUUGCCCUAAUUUGAUUUUUACAUGAAGGGAAAGCAGACGGAGGAGAUAGAUCAAAGACAGGUUUGCGCUUGAAAAUGUGUCUCGCGCCUCUCACAUGACACCACUUAACAGAAAGUUUGAUGAAAUUUUCUUAAAUAUAAAGGUAGGGAGUUAUUUGGUUGUCUUGUACUAGUUAAAGGGAUAGAUGGGCAAGAAAAAUAGUUAAGGGGUGACUAGCAGCCUGUGUGAUAGUUCCGUGAGGGGCGGAUUUAGUUUUUUCCUGGGUUCUGUAAACUUGUGCAGAUGGGACUGUACACAACCUUGAUGGUUACUUUCAGAUCCAUGCUAAAUAUGUGGUGACAGGAACACGAGUUGAUGUGACCUAAUGCAGCUUUUUUUCCCCAGAUUCCUUAAUGUAUGGUAAUUCUCUUGUCAGCUGGACCUAGUAUUUAUAAGGCUUCCGACUGAGUUGCUGCAUCGCAUUGGGGAUUAGUUCAUUCCAUUUCCAGCUGCAUUUUCCUUUUUCCUUUGUGCUUCUGAGAAUUGGGUUUUGCCUUAAAGAUUGUAUGGAGCAUUGCAUCUUUUACUUGAAUGACAAGCAACAAACUUUUCACUC